AUAAGUAAACAAGGUCUUCAUAUUAUCUGUACCCAAGGAAUUUAUUCAAGGAAAUUAUCAUGGAAAUCAAGCGAUAUGAUACAGGAUAAAACCUUCACGCGGGUUGGUUGCUUGGUUCCGCAGAUGAUCAUUUUUUUAGACGAGGAAAAAUAUGAAAACAAAAUAUACAGACGUCUGAUUAUACACGUAAAACCAUAUAUCGUAAAGAGUACAGGUUAUAGGAUACACUUGGUGAGCAAAUCAGCUUAAAAUAGAACGUGUGAAUUUAAGAAUAAAAUACCUAACUUAUAACUUGUACCGAAUUAUUGUUGAAACGAAGAGCGGAUGAAUGGGGUUAAAAAAAAAUGUGUAGAAAUGAUAUAAUGGAUAAUCAACAAGAAUAACGUGUGUGUGUGUGUGUGUGUGUGUGUGUGUGUGUGUGUGUGUGUGUGUGUGUGUGUGUUGAUGUAUAAAAUGGGAAAAAAAAAGACAUCACAAUAUUAGAGAAUCCACAAUAGUCGCUUAUCUGACACACACACACACACACACACACACACACACAAGCACGCGGAUGGGUUAAAAAGGAAAUUGAAAUGGAGAUGAAUAAAUUAAAUAUAUAAAAAUUUCAACCUAGUAAAAAAGGAAAAUUAGCAGACAAGAGGAAAAAGAAAACAUGAAGGGCGCGCAUCUUAUAAUCAAAACUACGGAAAAUAAGGACAAAAAUGACAAGGAAAAGUAUAAGAAAGGAAAAAAAUGAAAAAUAAAUAUAUGGAACAAGGAAAAAAAAGUCUAGGCAAAAAUAAGGAAAAUAAUAAGGAAAAAAAAGGAGGUGUACGGUAAAAAUAAACAAAAAAUGUAUAAGAAAACAGUAGGCCUAAGGGAAAUAAGAAAAUAAGGGAGAAAAUCAGAUAUAAAAAUGAAAAAUCAGAAAAAUACGGAACAUCUCUGAAGGGUGUCGUUUACUUGGCACUGGUAGACAGACAGGCACUUGACUCCCUUGCUCUGGGCCUGUGCGUUCGUCAGUGUCUCUCAAGGGAACACUCAAACAGGCUGUCGCGUCUCACAUCAGCUAUUUCUAAAGGUCAAAAACGGCGCCAGACGGGUUCUAAUGAGUGUUUCUUCAGGUUCACGGUAAAGAGGAAGGGUCAAACUACCACCUGGGUCAUAAAACUACUCCUGGAAAUGCCCACAACUCCUACGAAAGCCUUGUCAAAUAUGUGUUCUUGGGAGAGUUGUAUUCUUAAACAUUUUGACGGCCAAGCACACAUAUUUUACAAGGCUUUCCUAGGAGUUAUAGGAAUUUCCAGGGGUACUUCUAUAGCCCUGGUGGCAGUUUGACCCUUCUUCUGUACCGUGAACCUAUAAAAACACUCAUUAGAAUCCGAUUAAUCUCCUUUUCGGCUUUUGGAAAUGUUGAUGAGAGAGAUGGAAGCCUCUGAGAAUACCGUCCUUAAAGAUGCUGCCCAAGGUGUCUGAGCGGCCGAGGGGGCAUAGGGUAAAAAAAAAAUAAUAAAUAAAUAUUAAAUAAAUAAUAAAAACUCACACUAGCAGACAUCAGAUAAGCGACUCCAGAUGAUUAUAGGAGAGGGAUGUAAGUGUAUCGCGAUGUCCGCCCGCACACACGUGGACAUACGCACAAACACGUACAUGAAGGCCGCCUAAGACAAAACAAACACGCACACACACGCACACAAGAGAUGGGGAAGUGUAAUGCCUCACUCAACACACACACACACGCACAUAAACGUACAUAAAGGCCACCUCAGCCAAUACACACACACACACACACACACACACACACACAGUAAAGCCACCCCGUUAUAGACACAGAAUCCACCCCCAAAAAGUCCAUCUUGAGACCCCACUACCCAGACUCAGACCAAAUUUCCCCCUUUUGAUCGGCUCACAAAACAGCAGAGUCACUGAGAAAUGCAACUCCUUAUAGCCACAGGGGAGACUUGACUAAGCUCCCAGGCGGUUAGGGCGUUCAAGAUGGGCUACCCCGGGGUGCGAGGGGGGCGGGGGGCUCAACGGGGGAUGAGGCACAAGCACCAUAUCUUACGGGGGGGGUGGGGGGUGGGGGAGAAAGGGCAGGGGGGGGGGGUAAUAAGGGAGUGUGAUAUGAGGAAAAGGGUGAGGAUGCUGGGUAGGGUGAAGGGUGAUGGUGUGGACUGUGGCAGGGUGAGGGGACGGAAGGGAAGGGUGAUGGGGUAAUGUAGGGUGAAGGAAAGGAAGGGUGAUGGGUGAGGGGAUGGGCUUAUGCAGGGUGAGGGGAAGGAAGGGAAGGGUGACAGGUGAGGGGAUGGGCCUAUGCAGGGUGAGGGGAAGGGAAGGGUGAGGGGAGUAUAUCUAGAGGAAGAAAAGGAAGGGGUGGGUGAUGGGUAGAUGGUUUGAGGGGAGAAGGGAGACAAGGGAGGAGAUGGGAACUUAGAGGAAAGGAAGGGGAGGGGAGUGAGAGAGGAAUGAAGGGAAGGAAGAAGAUGGUUUGAAGGGAAAAGGGAGAAGGGGGAAUGGGGGGAAGAAGAGAACUUAGGGAAGCGGAGAGAUAUGGGUGAAGGGGAGUGAGGGGUGAAGGGAGGAGAGGAAGGGAUAAAAGGGAGGGGGAGAAGGAAAUGGAAUGGGAUGUGAAGGGAAGGGUAAUGAAAGGGAAGGUGAAAUGGAUGCUUGAUGAUGGGCAGUGAAGAGAUGAGGGAAGGGAAAGGAAGGGGCCAGAGGAUGAAUGGUGGUAUGGAAGGGGAGGUUGACCUGACGAAGGGCAGUGAAGGGGGCUCAGUAAGGACACGGGACAUCACACACAAGAGGCAAAGGAAGGAGCACACCGAGGCACAUAACCACUACGCUCAUCUCCAUAUCCUACACACACACACACACACACGCACAGUCCUGCAACACCCAAGGCUGCCUCUGCUAUCCUGGAAACUCACUGACCAAGAACAGGUAACAUUAACAAGGCUGGGGUGCUACUGGGCCCUUCAUUAAGAAAACAGCACCAAGCACUCUGCCUUACAUCACAAGUCCUCUAAAUGCAAAUGGCUUGAAUUCUUACACAUUUCACCUCCCAAGAACAAGGUUUUUAUAGGUGUUUUGGGCAUUUCCAGGGGUAGUUUUAUGACCCUGAUGGUUGUUUGACCCUUCUUCUGUAUCUGUAUGGCUCUGAACCUGGGCCCUUCACGGUACCCAACAUUCUGCCUUACAUCACAAGUCCUCUAAAUGGAAAUGGCUGAAUUUUUACACAUUUCACCUCCCAAGAACACAUAUUUGACAAGGUUUUCAUGGGUGUUUUGGGAAUUUCCAGGGGUAGUUUUAUGACCCUGGCAAGAACACAUAUUUGACAAGGUUUUCAUGGGUGUUUUGGGAAUUUCCAGGGGUAGUUUUAUGACCCUGGCAAGAACACAUAUUUGACAAGGUUUUCAUGGGUGUUUUGGGAAUUUCCAGGGGUAGUUUUAUGACCCUGGCAAGAACACAUAUUUGACUAGGUUUUCAUGGGUGUUUUGGGCAUUUCCAGGGGUAGUUUUAUGACCCUGGCAAGAACACAUAUUUGACUAGGUUUUCAUGGGUGUUUUGGGAAUUUCCAGGGGUAGUUUUAUGACCCUGGCAAGAACACAUAUUUGACAAGGUUUUCAUAGGUGUUUUGGGCAUUUCCAGGGGUAGUUUGAUGACCCAGGCGGUAGUUUGAUCCUUCUUCUGUAUCAUGAACCUAAAAAACACUCUUUAGAACCCCAUUAAUCCUCUUUAUGACCUUUGAGAACAGUUGUUACACCAAGAAUGGGAGAAUGGGAAGGUUAGUGCAGUCAGCCUUUUUCCUGCCAUCCACCCAAGCCAUCAAGACUCAAAUUUAUCCUUACUGACUUAACCAUGCCAGGAUGAAGGCGGCUGCUGGUGGGUAAUUUGAUGCAUUCAUAUACGAGGAAUGGUUGCGUGUGGGGAGGCGAGUGCGUUCAGCGUUGUUCCUGCCAUCCACCCAAGCCAUCAAGACUCAAAUCUAUCCUUACUGUCACUUAACCAUGCCAGAGUGAAGGCUGCUGGUGGGUAAUUUGAUGCAUUCAUAUACGAGGAAUGGGAGUGUGAGAAGGCGAGUGCGUUCAGCCUUGUUCCUGCCAUCCACCCAAACUAUCAAGACUCGAAUCUAUCCUUACUCUUACUCAACCAUGCCAGAAUGAAGGGUGCUGGUGGGUAAUUUGAUGCAUUCAUAUACGAGGAAUGGGAGAUAGGGAAGGUUAGUGCAAUCAGCCUUGUUCCUGCCAUCCACCCAAGCCAUCAAGACUCAAAUCUAUCCUUAUUGUCACUUAACCAUGCCAGAGUGAAGGCUGCUGGUGGGUAAUUUGAUGCAUUCAUAAACAAAGAAUUGGACUGUGAGGAGGUCAGUCCAUUCAGCCUUGUUCCUGCCAUCCACCCAAACUAUCGAGCCUCAAAUGCAGAAUAGUUUGAGGGGGGAAGAUUGUGGACCCUAGAUUAAGAGGGCAGCGAGGGGUAUAGGGUGUGUGAACGUAUGUGUGUAUGUAGCGUGUGUGCGCCCUUCUAACUGAUUGAUUGAUUGAUAGUUUAUUGUUGCAGCUUCACAUUGCCUCCAUCUUUCUAUCCUUCCACAGCCACUCAAAACAAGGUCUGCACACAAUGUUUCUAUAAUGAUCAAAUGAGGGUGUAAGGAUGAGUGUGUGCGCAUCCUUCUAACUGUCCCUAUCUCUCUUUCUAUCCUUCCACAGCCACUCAAAACAAGGUCUGCACACAAUGUUUCUAUAGUGAUUAAAUGAGGGUGUAAGGAUGAGUGUGUGUGCAAGCAUCUAACUGUCCCUUUCUCUCUUUCUAUCCUUCCACAGCCACUCAAAACAAGGUCUGCGCACAAUGUUUCUAUAGUGAUCAAAUGAGAGUGUAAGGAUGAGUGGGUGCGAGCCAUUACGACAUGUUAGCGAAGAAGAGUUAUAUUCCAGACACAAAGUAUUAACAAAAAAAUAUAAUUCCUUGAAAAUAUUAUUAAGACAGGUAAUAUAGAGAUGGCUUAAAACAUAAUAUAUUUACAGUAAUGGGAGAGAAAGAUGACCUCCAUGGAUAAGUAAAAUAAAGAGAGUCGUGUGUUUAGAAUCUGGAGAAUGUUCACUGAUAAAAGUAACAGCUUAGGGCAAUCACAACAUAAAAGAUCAAGUCCUUCACUGAUAAGGGCGUUCAAAGUUUAGAGAAAAUCUAUACACAACAAACAGGUAUUUUCACUGAUAGAAGAAGUUGACAAUGUUGAGUACUUACUAUAAAAACAAAUCCUUCACUGAUAAGGGCGUUCAAAGUUAAGAGGAAAUCUAUAUAUAACAAACAGGUAUUUUCACUGAUAAAAUGUAGAGUAGUCACAAUAUAAAAAUCUAAGUCCUUCACAGAUAAAAAGUUAACAAUUGGGACCUGAAUCUAAAUAAAAAGAGCAAGUCCUUCAGUGAUUAUGAGCUCAUAGUUAAAAGCAAAAUAUAUAUAUAGAUAACAAGUCCUUCUCAAUGAUAAAAGAGUUAGUUAAGAGCAAUUUCAGGUCCAAUUCACUGAUAAAAAGUUAACAGUUUAGAGCAGAAUCUAUACAAAACAGCAAGUUCUUUUGAUUCGGCAAGGGAGCAAAGUAUAUUUAAAAGACUGAUUUUAUAAGGUAACAAUUUAGAGCAAUUUCUAUAUAAAAAAGAUCAUGUCCAAUUCACUGAUAAAAGUUAACAGUUUAGAGCAGAAUCUAUACAAAACAGCAAGUUCUUUUGAUUCGGCAAGGGAGCAAAGUAUAUUUAAAAGACUGAUUUUAAAAGGUAACAAUUUAGAGCAAUUUCUAUAAAAAAAAAGAUAAUGUCCAAUUCACUGAUAAAAGAGUUAACAGUUUAGUACAAAAUCUACAUGAAACAGCAAGUCCUUAUCUUUAAGCACCAGAGCAAAAUACGUAUGAAAAAACAGGUCCUUCAGUAAUAAAAAGAUAACAAUUUAAGAGUAAUUUCUAUAUAAAAAAGGGUUCUUUGCUAUCAAUCUAGUUAUCAUCAGGGGGACAAGUCAGGACACAUAAGCAA